rnacentral:misc_RNA from 1 species
GAUGAAGAACGUAGCAAAAUGCGAUAAGUAAUGUGAAUUGCAGAAUUCAGUGAAUCAUCGAAUCUUUGAACGCACAUUGCGCCCGCCAGUAUUCUGGCGGGCAUGCCUGUUCGAGCGUCAUUUCAACCCUCAAGCACAGCUUGGUGUUGGGACUCGCGUUAAUUCGCGUUCCCCAAAUUGAUUGGCGGUCACGUCGAGCUUCCAUAGCGUAGUAGUAAAACCCUCGUUGCUUGUAAUCGUCGCGGCCACGCCGUUAAACCCCAACUUCUGAAUGUUGACCUCGGAUCAGGUAGGAAUACCCGCUGAACUUAAGCAUAUCAAUAAGCGGAGGA